rnacentral:piRNA from 1 species
UGGUAGAGGUAUUCAGGACUGGGAUGAG